GACGAACGCUGGCGGCGUGCUUAACACAUGCAAGUCGAACGGAAAGGCCCUGCUUUUGUGGGGUGCUCGAGUGGCGAACGGGUGAGUAACACUUGAGUAACCUGCCCUUGACUUUGGGAUAACUUCAGGAAACUGGGGUUAAUACCGGAUAGGAGCUCCUGCUGCAUGGUGGGGGUUGGAAAGUUUCGGCGGUUGGGGAUGGACUCGCGGCUUAUCAGCUUGUUGGUGGGGUAGUGGCUUACCAAGGCUUUGACGGGUAGCCGGCCUGAGAGGGUGACCGGCCACAUUGGGACUGAGAUACGGCCCAGACUCCUACGGGAGGCAGCAGUGGGGAAUAUUGCACAAUGGGCGGAAGCCUGAUGCAGCAACGCCGCGUGCGGGAUGACGGCCUUCGGGUUGUAAACCGCUUUCGCCUGUGACGAAGCGUGAGUGACGGUAAUGGGUAAAGAAGCACCGGCUAACUACGUG
rnacentral:rRNA from 1 species